rnacentral:rRNA from 1 species
UACGUAGGUGGCGAGCGUUAUCCGGAAUGAUUGGGCGUAAAGGGUGCGUAGGCGGCCUGCUAAGUCUGGAGUGAAAGGUACCGGCUCAACCGGUACAGGCUCUGGAAACUGGCGGGCUAGAGAGCAGGAGAGGGCGGUGGAACUCCAUGUGUAGCGGUAAAAUGCGUAGAUAUCACACAGAACACCGAUUGCGAAGGCAUCUCACGAAUCCGCGAUUGACGCUGAUGCACGAAAGCGUGGGUAUCAAACAGG